rnacentral:rRNA from 1 species
UACGAGGGGGGCAAGCGUUGUUCGGAAUUAUUGGGCGUAAAGGGCGCGUAGGCGGUCUGAUAAGUCGAACGUGAAAUCCCCGGGCUCAACCCGGGAACUGCGUCCGAUACUGGCAGGCUUGAAUCCGGGAGAGGGAUGCGGAAUUCCAGGUGUAGCGGUGAAAUGCGUAGAUAUCGUAAGGAAGACCAGUGGCGAAGGCGGGUCUCUGGACAGUUCCUGACGCUGAGGCACGAAGGUCAGGGGAGCAAACGGG